rnacentral:lncRNA from 1 species
UUGCUCUCAGCCUGGUGCUCCGUCUGGCUCAGUGGAGUAGCCUGGGUUCCUUCUCCUGCUCUGCCAAGAGCAGCAGCCACAUGCUGCUCUACUCUUCUGACUUACAUUGUUUCUGGCUGAAGCUUUCAGGACAGCAGUCAGCCAGCAAUCAAAUGCCAGGCAAGCUGUACCGUAUAGAAGCCUGGUAUGUUGGUGUGAGGGCAAACAUUGUAAGGAAGAAGGGUGCUUGCUCUCUAAGGAUCCUGAGAGCAAGUCCCACCAGACCUAGAAGGGCCCCCUUUCCAGAAAGUCUGUCCAGAGUCUGCUAUUGAGGCUUCCCAGAUGUCUGGCUGGCAAGGUCUAGCUGCAUCACAAGCCAAAGUGUGAGUCUGGGACUGAGGUAAACUGCUGACUGGGACAGUGGUUUGGCUUUCUUCCUGUUCAUUUUGUUUGAUUUAUUCUGGACACUUUCUGUUGCUGUCUUCUGCCUUUCCCCUGAAGCACAUCCUCUGCUAAGUGCAGGUUACUACUUUCCAUCUCAGACUUCUUUCCACACCACUGAACAACCUGUCAUUCACUCUGGUCUCUGCUGUGGUCCUCGAUGGCCUCCUGUGUUUACCCACUAUAAAAAUUUUCUCCACUUCCUCCCCCCCCUCCCCCGCUUCUCUUCAUUCUUCCCUCUGUCUCCCUUCCUCCCUCUGGUUUUACCAGAUUCCAGGAGUACAUAGAUAAGUGUGUUCUGUCCAUAGGUUUAUCUAGAGCGCUCCCAUGGUUGU